GGAGGAGUGGCAGAGUGGUCGAUCGCGGCAGCCUUGAAAGCUGUUGUGGGCGCAAGCCCACCGUGGGUUCGAAUCCUACCUCCUCCGCCA
rnacentral:tRNA from 1 species